CCUACGGGCGGCAGCAGUGAGGAAUAUUGGUCAAUGGGCGCGAGUCUGAACCAGCCAAGUAGCGUGAAGGAUGACUGCCCUACGGGUUGUAAACUUCUUUUAUAAAGGCAUAAAUUCAGGCACGUGUGCCUUUUUGUAUGUAUUUUAUGAAUAAGGAUCGGCUAACUCCGUGCCAGCAGCCGCGGUAAUACGGAGGAUCCGAGCGUUAUCCGGAUUUAUUGGGUUUAAAGGGAGCGUAGAUGGGUUGUUAAGUUAGUUGUGAAAGUGUGCGGCUCAACCGUGACAUUGCAAUUGAUACUGGCAGCCUUGAGUACAGUUGAGGUAGGCGGAAUGCGUGGUGUAGCGGUGAAAUGCUUAGAGAUCACGAAGAACUCCGAUUGCGAAGGCAGCCUACUAAACUGCCACUGACAUUGAUGCUCGAAAGUGUGGGUAUCAAACAGGAUUAGAUACCCCGGUAGUC
rnacentral:rRNA from 1 species